GGCGGAUUACCCGAGCGGCCAAAGGGAGCUGACUGUAAAUCAGCUGCGAAAGCUACGGGGGUUCAAAUCCCUCAUCCGCCACCA
rnacentral:tRNA from 1 species